GAUGAACGCUAGCUACAGGCUUAACACAUGCAAGUCGAGGGACCGGCGCACGGGUGAGUAACACGUAUCCAACUUGCCCUUUACUCGGGGAUAGCCUUUCGAAAGAAAGAUUAAUACCCGAUAUAAAGGAUGGGGAUGCGUUCCAUUAGGUUGUUGGUGAGGUAACGGCGCACAAAGGCUUCGAAGGAUAGGGGUUCUGAGAGGAAGGGCCCCCACAUUGGAACUGAGACCCGACACAAACUCCUACGGAAGGCAACCGUGAGGACAAUUGGUCAAUGGGCGGUAGCCUGAACCAGCCAAGUAGCGUGAAGGAUGAAGGCUUAUGGGUCGUAAACUGCUUUUAUAGUAGAAUAUGUAUUAUAUGAAUAAGGAUCGGCUAACUCCGUGCCAGCAGCCGCGGUAAUAC
rnacentral:rRNA from 1 species